UGUUAAAAUUAUUCAGAAUUUAAUGUCAGAUGUCAUACGUCAACGCAGAACAGAUAAAAGCAGAUUUAAAUAUCCGACUUUGUCAGUCAGCUGUUUCUACUAGGCCAACAAUGGAUGGGUGAUACCUAUACCAUGAAAAAAUUCUUUUUGUGUUUGUGUAACGUGUAAUGUGGCCGUUUUUCUGUUUUUGCUGUUUGGGGUUGUACGGAGGAUAUCCAACCAAAAGUUAUUUUCACAAGAUGCAAAUGUUAACACCUCAAUUUUGUAGCGGUACUUUUUUAACAAUUGACCAUUAGCUCCGAUGAUGACAUUUAUGUCGAAAGCGCUCAGCUAAAGAAAUAAAUUAUUUACACACUUUGA